GAUGAACGCUGGCAGCGUGCCUAAUACAUGCAAGUCGAGCGAAGCGGGGACAGGUGAGUACCACGUAGAUAACCUCCUAUACGAAUGGGAUAACUUCGGGAAACCGUAGCUAAACCGGCUACUUAUAUAUGGAUCCGCGGUGCAUUAGCUGUGUGGUAAGGUAACGGCUUACCAAGGCAACGAUGCAUAGCCGACCUGAGAGGGUGAUCGGCCACACUGGAACUGAGACACGGUCCAGACUCCUACGGGAGGCAGCAGUAGGGAAUCUUCCGCAAUGGGCGAAAGCCUGACGGAGCAACGCCGCGUGAGUGAUGAAGGUCUUCGGAUCGUAAAACUCUGUUAUUAGGGAAGCGGUACCUAAUCAGAAAGCCACGGCUAACUACGUGCCAGCCGCCGCGGUAAUAC
rnacentral:rRNA from 1 species